GUGCGCACUUCAGCAGCAUGUGUACCAAAAUUAGAACUAGAAAGAGAAGAUUAGCAUGGUUCCUGCACCAGAAUGACAUGCAGAACUUUGUGAAGCAUGACACUAUU
ensembl:snRNA U6 U6 spliceosomal RNA